UACAGAAUCCCCGAGCGUUACCCGGAUUUAUUGGGCGUAAAGGGUCUGUAGGUGGUGUAGUAAGUUUGGAAUUAAAACUCAUCGGCUUAACCUUUGAGCUGUUUCGAAUACUGCUACACUAAGAGGGCGUUAGAGGCUAACGGAACCGACGUAAGUAGGGGUGAAAUCCGUUGAUAUCGUCGGGAACACCAAAAGCGAAGGCAGUUUGCUGGGGCGACCCUGACACUGAGAGACGAAAGCGUGGGGAGCAAAAAGGAUUAGAUACCCUUGUAGUCCACGCCGUAAACGAUGGAUGCUGGCUAUUGGCAGUGUCGACCCUGCCAGUGGCGAAGCUAACGCGUUAAGCAUCCCGCCUGGGAAGUACGAACGCAAGUUUAAAACUCAAAGGAAUAGACGGGGACUCACACAAGCAGUGGACCAUGUGGCUUAAUUCGACAACAAACGAAGAACCUUACCAGGACUAGAAACCCAACUGACCAUCCCGUGAAAGCGGGACUUCGCAAGACGGUUGGGCAGGUGCUGCAUGGCUGUCGUCAGUUCGUGUCUUGAGACGUACCGUUAAUUCGGGUAACGAACGCAACCCUUGCCCUGUGUUUUAAAUGUCACAGGGGACUGCCCGAGAUAAUUGGGAGGAAGGCGAGGAUGACGCCAAGUCAGCAUG
rnacentral:rRNA from 1 species